rnacentral:rRNA from 1 species
GGGAAUUUUGCGCAAUGGGGGAAACCCUGACUCACCAACGCCGCUUGGAGGAUGAAGUCGCUUGGGACGUAAACUCCUUUCGACUGGGAAGAUAAUGACCGUACCAGUGGAAGAAGCCCCGGCUAACUUCGUGCCGUCAGCCUCCGUAAUAGGAGGGGGGCAAGCGUUGUUCAGAAUUAUUGUGCCUAAGCGGCGCAUAGGCCGUGCCGUAACUCACCUGUGAAAUCUCCGGGCUCAACUCUGAGCCUGCACGCGAUACUGCCU